CGUAGGUGGCAAGCGUUGUCCGGAAUUAUUGGGCGUAAAGCGCGCGCAGGCGGUUCCUUAAGUCUGAUGUGAAAGCCCCCGGCUCAACCGGGGAAGGUCAUUGGAAACUGGGGAACUUGAGUGCAGAAGGGAAGAGCGGAAUUCCACGUGUAGCGGUGAAAUGCGUAGAGAUGUGGAGGAACACCAGUGGCGAAGGCGGCUCUUUGGUCUGUAACUGACGCUGAGGCGCGAAAGCGUGGGGAGCAAACAGGAUUAGAUACCCUGGUAGUCCACGCCGUAAACGAUGAGUGCUAAGUGUUAGAGGGUUUCCGCCCUUUAGUGCUGCAGCUAACGCAUUAAGCACUCCGCCUGGGGAGUACGGCCGCAAGGCUG
rnacentral:rRNA from 1 species